AAGGGCACCACAAGAACGCGUGGAGCAUGUGGCUUAAUUUGACUCAACGCGGGAAAUCUUACCGGGUCCGGACGCACUGAGGAUUGACAGGUAUUAUAUAAUUGCUCUUCGGAGCUUUUAUUGUUAAAUAUGCUAGUCCUUUCAUGAUUAUGUGAUAGGUGGUGCAUGGCCGUUCUUAGUUCGUGGAGUGAUCUGUCUGCUUAAUUGCGUUCCACUAUAAGGAUCUAUAUUCUUUACAGUGUGCAGUGCAUUGACCCCUUCUUCGGAAGCGUGUGUCUUUACGCUCACACUUCAUUAGGUCCUGAAAGCAACGAACGUGACCGCAACCUCUUGUUGCCUCUGUGCUCCUACACGCUCAAUGCGCUAAACACUGGUUUUCUUCGGAAGCUUAGUGCGUUGGUUGAGGCUUUCUUAAACUAGAGGGACCGCUGUCAACUUCUUAAACCAGAGGAAGGUUGCGGCAAUAACAGGUCUGUGAUGCCCUUAGAUGUUCCGGGCUGCACACGUGCUACAAUGAUUGUUGCAGUGAGCAUCUCAAUUCUUUACCACACCGCACACGUGAGUCUUUAACGUUUUGUUGAUGCACUUUACGCAGCGGUAACGCCUGCUUCGAGAGCAAGUGGGUAAUCAAUUAGAAGUAACGAUUUCCCAAGUUAGCACACUUAUAUACGGCGUUUAUGCCCGGGUUUCACUUCGUUGAUUCCUUUGUGCGCGUAGAUGGAUUCUUCCGUAUGUGCAAUUGUCAAUUCAUGGUGGGGACAGACCAUUGUUAAUUGUUGGUCUCGGUCUUAACUAGGAAUGCCUUGUACGGGUCUUUGGUUCAACAAACCACCCGGAGUACGUCCCUGCCCUUUGUACACACCGCCCGUCGCUCUUACCGAUGGACUUCUCUGUGAGUUUGAGGGACUCGGGUUGAUCGCUUUACGGCGUGAAACUCUAUGGAAACUUAAACGAACAGUGUGGUCUAAAGGAAAGAGAAGUCGUAACAAGGCAUCGGUAGGUGAACCU
rnacentral:rRNA from 1 species